rnacentral:tRNA from 1 species
GGGCGAAUGGUUUAGGGGUAUAAUUUUCCCUUAGCAAGUCUAAUCACUUGGGAAAGGUCCAGGGUUCGAUUCCCUGUUCGUCCA